rnacentral:lncRNA from 1 species
GUGACCAUAAUGUGGUGGCUUCUCUCCCUUAGGUGGUUUGCCAACUGGGGUUGGUGGCUUGUGUUCUGGGAGUGGCUUCUCCCCCUUGGGAGGUUUUUCCAAUGGGGUUGGUUUGUGUUCAGGAGGUGGCUUCUCCACUGGAGGCUUGUGUUCAGGAGGUGGCUUCUCCACCGGUGGCUUGUGUUCAGGAGGUGGCUUCUCCACCGGAGGCUUAUGCUCUGGUGGUGGCUUCUCCACCGGAGGCUUAUGCUCUGGUGGUGGCUUCUUGAAUGGGGGAUGCUGAGGGUAAUCAGCAAGUGAGGGGGCGGUGAGAACCACCAGGCCAAGCAACACCACUAGCAAAUAUGUAGGAGACAUCUUUGGGUUUGGGCUCAGAUGGUGCAAAACUAGGAGAAUUGGCUAGCCUUUUAUAGCGGAUCGUACUCAAUAAUGAAAUGACACGUGUCAUUAUGACCCAUGUGUAAUGGGGUCGAUUUGGGUCCUACAGUGUUGAAAACUUCGACAUCCAGUUUUGGCCUUUUGCUUUCUCUACAGCCGCCUUGCUUUUUCCCUCUUUCCUUUUGUUUUCCUCCUGCCCCAUUCUAUCAACUAAACACAAUUAUGUAGUUGUUUAAUUCUUAAAUGAGAUAUUAUCGGUCAAUCGUAUUAUAUUUUAUCAAGAGAGAACGGAGUGCAAUGCAGCUGUAAUUUUAUCGUUUACUUUUAUCUCUUGGACCACUGCAUUUUUGUUAAGAGGUGCAAUAAUACACGUCUUUAUCUGCCAUUCAAUGUUUACAGUAAAGAGAGGGCACAAAACUCUUCACUGCUCUGCAUGUGUCCCAAAAAUGCGAUUGGACAAAUUAUGAUUUGCAUGCUAAAAAGAGGCAAAUGAGGUUAAUUCGCACCAUAAUUAUUUGGUUUUCUGGACACCAUAAAAAGAUGUUAUACAGGCAGGGAAAAACCUUCAGAGUUAGCUACCAAAGAUAAUUAUCAAGCAGAUAUCACCAAGAGAAUUCCAUAGAGUCUGAAUCAAAGACAGAUUGCUCGCUCGUGGGGGUUCUUACUUUCUUUUGGGUAUAACUCACUGAGGUCACUGUCUUUUUUAUUUGCAUUUCACAGUUAGAGUUCUGCUCUGGAAGGUUUGUUCUGGAAACAUAUAAAAGGAGCAUCAUUUUGUUCUUGGGUAACCCAUAGUCGUGAGUGGGUCCAUUUGCAUGCUACUUAGUUGAAAAGUUGGACAAUUUGCUCCGACGCCUACCUCCUGGAUUCCAUGCUCGGUAAAACAAGAAUAAAAAAAAAUAUAUAAUUUACAAAUGGGGGAAAGAAAAAAUGUCGGAAAAAAUAGUAAAAUUCAUGUCACAUGCUAGUGAGAGAAGGGGUUGUUACACUCACUCGAAGUUCUUUUCAAAAUAUCGAAUGGUAUUUUACUUUAUGUGUCAGCGCAGUUGUGAAUGGAACGUGCAAAAGUCCAAAUUGGCGUUUUUAUUUUUCCCAUGUAGGAUGGUGACCUUUAAUAAAUAUUUAAAACAAAAGACGAAAAAAAAAAGGAGGGAAAAGGGAUCACAAAAGAUAAAAUAAUGUUUACAAAAGCUCAAUUAGUUUGCAAAUUACUGUUUGGAUUUUGAUAGUAUUUUAUUUGUCGUUCUAUAUUUGAUGUAAAAGAGAAUUUAAGAUAUUUCCGAAGCAAAAGCAUUAGUUUGCUCUGUGAUGUCCCACAUCGAAUAGGGGAGAAAGUUUCUGGCGCUAUAUAUGUAGAGGCUCCUCUUAACCAAGUAGAUGCGUUUUAAAACCAUGAGGGCCCCCUUAGGUCCAAAGCGGACAAUAUCUACAUGAUUGGGUGUAAGUCAUUACAAAUGGUAUCAGAGCCGAUCCCCGACCCCGGUGUGGGGGUUUGUUUGGCCCUGUAAGGGGUGUUUGUCUGUUUGACCCCACAAUCCCAUGGGACACAACGAGGACGUUGUGUCUGCAUGGGGGGGCGUUUGUGAUGUCCCACAUCGGAUAGGGGAGAAAGUUCCUAGUGCUAUAUAUGUAGAUGUUUCUCUUAACCAAGUAGAUGCAUUUUAAAAUUGUGAGGGCCUCUUUGGGCCCAAAGCGGACAAUAUCUACAUGGUUGAGUGUAAGUCAUUACAUGCUCCAUGUCAAUUUCAGCAUUUCUCAUAUGUUUCACACAUACACAGAAGAGCAUCGUUUUUUAAAGCAUGCAUUUAUGUUGGAUUAAUUUGGAUUUUGUGGGAACUGGGGCAAGGAUCACAUGGAAGAGAGGUUGACUUUUUUCAGUACUUCAAUGGUUGAAAUAUGUGAAGGCUUGAUUGAUACUAAAGCUUGAAAUUGCGACUCUGUCAUUUGUAAAAAAAUAUGACAGCUUCCAUGCUCUCGUUUGGUUGCAUUGUCCGGUCGAGAGGUGCAAAAAGCAUUCUCUCUCUUCUAAUAGUCUUUUCGUUUAAAUCAAGGGAUUUGCCUUCCCGGUCGAGGUCCAAUAGAGGGUAACGGUCACCUACUAAACAUUAAAUGCUCCAACAACUAGUGAACUGAUCGACCCCAGCUCGACUAGUUGAGGUUACUUUUUGGUUUUCUUGUCUCCCGAGGUUAGAAACCUAUAAAUAGAGAGCUUCACUUCAUUUAUGAGUAAGAGAACACCUAAAUUUAUUUGUUUACCUACUUGUUUUUGCCAUAAAAGCUCUCAUUUCUUUUCUUGGUGUAUUAAAUCUCCAUUUGCAUAUCCUUUAGUGCACCUUUGUGAUUCAUUCUAGCCUUGAGUUGUAUUUAAGCCUUUGUUGAGCUAGGUUGAGAGUUUCAUACUUGUUUAUUGAGUGUUAAAGCCUUCAAGUGAGUUAAAACUUGAAGAGAUUGUGUAAGAGCCCAUUGGAGUCGGAAUCCAAGUGUAAAGGUGAUUAAAAGCUUGGUUGAAGCUUCAAGUUAGUGGAACUCUCACUCGGUUAUGAGCUUGAGAAGAGUGGACAUAGACAAGGCAGUGUCGAACCACUAUAAAAUCUGAGUUUGAUUUCUCUAACCUUAUCUCUUUAUAUUUGCUUCUCUUGUGCUUAAAUUUUUUGUGUUUAAAAAGAAUUUUUAAAAACUCAAUUCACCCCCUUCUUGGGAGUUUUUCUCUUUUAAGAUCAGCUUUUAUUUUCUCAAUUGGUAUCAGAACUAUGCCUCUUGUUUAAGACUUAAUCGUCUAAGAGGAAAUGGCUAAUCCAUCAAGUUCAUCUCACAUUGAAAGUUUUGCAACCAAUAGACUUCUUUUUUUUUUUUUGCGGGAACUGAUUAUCCCUAUUGGAAAACUAAAAUGACUUGGUUUUUACAAUCAAUUGAUUUAGAUGUAUGAGAUGCCAUUGAAGAUGACCUAACUUUUCCUUCAAAACUAGUUGAUGGAGUCAUGGUUCCAAAACCUAAGCAAGAAUGGGAUGAGCGUGAUUGAAGAAAUUUUCAAUUAAAUGCUAAAGUCGUUUAUACUUUGCAAUGCUCUAUGGACAGAAAUGAAUAUAAUAGAAUAUGUCAAUGCAAAUCGGUUAAAGAAAUUUGGAGAUUGCUUGAAAUAACUCAUAAAGGAACAAAUCAAGUUAAAGAGUCAAAAAUCAAUUUACUUGUUCAUAGAUAUGAAUUGUUUUUUAUGAAAGAUAAUGAAACUAUUGUUAAGAUGAUCACUAGGUUCACCAACAUUGUUAAUGGUCUUAAAGCCUUGGGAAAGACCUACAAGGAAUCCGAAAACGUGAUGAAGAUCUUGAGGUCACUUCCAUCAAAGUGGCAUACCAAGGUCACCGCAAUUUAAGAAGCAAAAGACUUGAUCAAGCUACCUUUGGAGGAGUUCAUAGGGUCAUUGAUGACAUAUGAAAUCAAUUUGGCAAAGAAGUAACAAAAAGGUGAAGACAAAAAGAAGAAGAACAUAACUCUCAAAGCUACAACUAAGGAAGAAGAAGUUGAAGAAGAAAAACAAAUUGAAGAAGAUGAAGAUUUAGCCCUCAUCACAAGAAAGUUCAACAAAUUCAUGAGGGGUGAAAGGUUUAGAAGAAGAAGGUUCACUUCUAGAAGAGACUUUUCUAAAAAGGAAUCUUCAUCUAAUGGUGACAAAAAGAGAUGGGAAGAGAAAAGAGACUUGGUGUGUUUCAAGUGCAAGAAACCGGGACACAUUAAAUAUGAUUGUCCUCUCUACAAAAGUGAAGUCAAGAGGAAAAAGAAUAAGGCAAUGAUGGCCACUUAGAGUGAAAGUGAAGAUGAAUCAUCCGAAGAAGAAAAUGAGAAAGAAGUGGCAAACAUGUGUUUCAUGGCAAUAGAUGAACUUGAUGAGGUAAAAUCUAACCUUAGUGAUUAAGAUAUACAUGAUGCAUUUGAAGAAUUGUAUGAGGAUUUUUAAAAACUUAGUUUGAAAAAUAUUUCUCUUAAAAAGAAAGUUCAACAACUUGACAAAGAACUUAGAGAAGUAAAAGAAAAAUUUUCAAAUGUUAAAGUUUCUAAAACUCAUCUUGAAAAAGAAAAUGAGAUUCUAAGAAAGAAAAAUGAAUAGUUGAACUCCUCUCUUUCAAUCUUUUCUUCUAGACAAAAAUCUUUUGAAAUGAUUCUAACUAGCUAAAAAUGUGUUUUUGACAAACAAGGGUUAAGAUUUAAAUCUUCAAAAAAUCAAAAGUAUUUUAAAAACUAUUUUGUAAAGGAAUCCACAAGUGCAAGUCCUUCCACUACUUGCAACUUUUGUGGAAGAGAAUGGCACAUUAGUAGUACGCCCUUUAAGAAAUGGUUCUCAAAAGAAUUUAAAUGCAAAAACUAAAAAAGAUUUGGAUUGAGAAAUCCAAGGUCACUAACCCUCAAGGACCCAAAAAGAUAUAGGUACCUAAAUCAACUUGAGUUUUAUGUUGUAAGGUUCAAAGAAUGAUAAGUGGUUCUUAGAUAAUGGUUGCUCAAGACACAUGACCGGAGAUGAAUCCAAGUUUGCUUUUCUUAAAAAGAAAAAUGGAGGAUAUGUUACCUUUGGAGACAAUGCAAAAGAAAGGAUGAUUGGUCAAGGCAACAUUGGUAAUGGCACAUCCUCUCUCAUUGAAAGUGUUUUAUUAGUAGAUGGUUUCAAACAUAACCUUUUAAGCAUUAGUCAAUUUUGCGACAAAGGUUUUUAAGUGAUUUUUUAAGCAUCUCAUUGCAUCAUCAAGGAUAUUCAAAAUGAUAAAACCAUUUUCAUGGGCCAUAGAUGUGAUAAUGUUUAUGCUAUAAAUAUUUCAAAAUAUGAUGGCCAUGAUAGAUGUUUUUCAAGCAUGCAUGAUCAAAGUUGGUUGUGCCAUAGGAGAUUGAGACAUGCUAACAUAGACCUCAUUUCCCAACUCAACAAAGAUGAACUUGUUAGAGGCCUUCCCAAAAUAAUUUUUUAAAAAGAUAAAGUUUGUGAAGCUUGUCAAGUGGGAAAGUAAAUCAAAAACUCUUUUAAAAACAAAAACUUCAUUUCCACAUCUAGGCCACUUGAGUUGUUGCAUAUGGAUUUAUUUGGUCCCUCUAGGACACCAAGUCUUAGAGGAAAUUCUUAUGCAUAUGCUAUUGUGGACGACUUCUCUAGAUACACAUGAGUCUUGUUUUUUAGUCAAAAGAAUAAAGUUUUUUAUGAGUUUUCAAAGUUUUGCAAUAAGAUUCAAAAUGAAAAAGGUUUUUCAAUUACUUAUAUAAGAAGUGAUCAUGGGAGAGAAUUCGAAAAUAUUGAUUUUGAAGAGUAUUGCAAUGAGCAUGGAAUUGACCACAAUUUUUUGGCUCUUAGAACUCCUCAACAAAAUGGGGUAGUUGAAAGGAAAAAUAGAACUCUUCAAAAAAUGACAAGAACCAUACUAAAUGAAAACAACUUACCAAAAUAUUUUUAGGCCAAAACGGUUAACACUUCUUGUUAUGUUUUAAAUAGAGUAUUAUUGAGGCUCAUACUUAAGAAAACUCCCUAUGAGCUUUGGAAAAACAAAAAACCCAACAUUAGUUAUUCCAAAGUCUUUGGAUGCAAUAUUUUAUAAUAAACACCAAAGACAAUCUUGGAAAAUUUGAUGCAAAAUUGGAUGUUGGAAUUUUCCUUGGUUACUCAACUUCAAGUAAAGCUUUUCGAGUUUUAACAAAAGAACCAUGGUUGUAGAGGAGUCCAUCCAUGUUAUUUUUUAUGAAUCUCCAAGAAAGAGAGAGGAUUGAUGAUGAUUUAGGUUUGAAGACCUCUAUAGGAAGAUUGCAAAUCGAAGAUAGAAGACAACAAGAAGAAAAUGGAGAGAAUCCAAAGAAAGAAGGAUCACCAUUGGCACUACCCCCUCAUCAACAAGCGCAAGGUGAAUCAAGUCAAGAGCUUCCUAAAGAAUGGAAGUUUGUCAUCAAUCACCCACAAGAUCAAAUUAUAGGCAAUCCAUCUAGUGGGGUAAGAACUAGAUCCUCUCUUAGAAAUAUUUGCAAUAAUCUAGCUUUUAUCUCUCAAAUUGAGCCUAAAAAUAUAAAUGAUGUUUUAGAUGAUGAAAAUUGGAUAAUUGCAAUGCAAGAAGAGUUAAAUCCAUUUGAAAGAAGUGGAGUAUGGGAAUUAGUACCAAGACCUUCAAAUCAAAGUGUUAUUGGAACUAGAUGGAUCUUUAGAAAUAAAAUGGAUGAAAAUAGCAUAAUUGUUAGAAAUAAAGCAAGAUUGGUAGCCCAAGGUUUUAAUCAAGAAGAAAUGAUAGAUUAUGAAGAAACCUUUGCCCCCGUAGCUAGGUUGGAAGCCAUUAGGAUGCUACUUGCCUUUGCAUGUUUUAAAGACUUUGUUUUAUAUCAAAUGGAUGUGAAAAGUGCUUUUUUAAAUGGUUUUAUAAAUGAAGAAGUAUAUGUUGAACAACCACCCGGUUUUCAAAGUUUCAACUUUCCUAACCAUGUUUUUAAACUUAAAAAGACACUUUAUGGUUUGAAACAAGCACCUAGAUCAUGGUAUGAAAAAUUGAGUAAAUUUCUUUUGAAAAAAAUGUUUUAAAAUGGGAAAAAUUGACACAACUCUUUUUAUAAAAACCAAAGAAAAUGAUAUGCUCUUAGUUCAAAUAUAUAUUGAUGAUAUCAUUUUUGGUGCUACUAAUGUCUCUCUUUAUGAAGAAUUUUCUAAGUGCAUGCAUAGUGAGUUUGAAAUGAGCAUGAUAGGAGAACUCAACUUCUUCCUUGGACUUCAAAUCAAGCAACUAAAGGAAUGAACCUUCAUCAAUCAAGCAAAGUAUAUAAGAGAUCUUCUCAAAAGGUUCAACAUGGAAGAAGCCAAAACAAUGAAGACUCUAAUGAGCUCAUCCAUUAAGCUUGAUAAGGAUGAGAAAGGUAAAUCCAUUGACUCUAUUAUGUAUAGAGGCAUGAUAGGUUCUUUGCUCUAUUUGACCACUAGUAGACCUUACAUUAUGUAUAGUGUGUGUUUGUGUACUAGAUUUCAAUCUUGUCUUAAAAAAUCUCACUUAAGUGUCGUGAAAAGAAUCCUCAAAUAUUUGAAAGGGACAAUGGACAUAGGCUUAUGGUAUCCUAAGAGUGAUAACUUUGAAUUAAUUGGUUUUUUGGAUGCUGAUUUUGUCAGUUGUAGGGUUGAAAAAUAAAACACUAGUGGCACUUUUCAUUUCUUAAGACACUUACUUGUCUCAUGGCAUAAUAAGAAGCAAAAUUUGGUAGCUUUGUCAACAGCAGAAGCUAAAUACAUAGCAACUGGUUUAUGUUGUGCACAAAUCCUUUGGAUGAAAUAAACACUUAGUGAUUUUGAUUUAUCUUUUGAGCAUAUUCCUAUUAAAUGUGAUAAUAGUAGUGCCAUAAGUAUAUCAAAAAAUCUCGUGCAACACUCUAGGACUAAGCAUAUAGAGAUUAGACAUAAUUUUCUUAGAUAUCAUACACAAAAGGAUGAUAUAACACUUGAAUUUGUAAGCAUAAAAGACCAACUUGCCGAUAUCUUUACAAAACCUCUAAGAACAUUUUGUUGAUAUUAGAGGACAAUUAGGAGUGAUUUCUUUAUGAUCUAAUGUGAUGAAUUCUUGAUGAAUAUACUUUUUGAUUGCAUGAAUUUCAUGUCAUAUAUGCAUCAUAUAGAAAUAUACUUAGAUAAUGGUCAAAUUUCGACCAAAAAUCAAAAUUCCCAUGGCAUUAGGCAUAAAAAUUUUGGAAUUUCAACUGAAAAUGGUAGGAGGAGGAUCACAAAAUGAGAAAGUAUGCAAAAAUUGAAAAAUCAAAACGUUGACCAAGCGGUCAAUCGGACUAGACCGAUCGACUAGUUUGUCGAGAUUUAGGAUUUUUAAGAGACUCCAACGCUUCAAUUUUUGCACCGUUCUCCUCUAUUUCUUCACGGUUUCUCUGAUUUUGUCUUUUAGAGACUAAUUUGAGUGCGUUUUGGAUCAAUUGAAGCAUUUUGGAUUGGAUUUUAGGAAGAUUGAAAGUUAAGGUUUCGGAUUUGGGUCGCCUUCUCUUCCUCUCGCGUGUCACAAUCAGCUUUAGCAUUGUUCUCUUUCCAUUUUCACACACCUAGGGUUUCAGUUGUGAGCAUCUCUCUCUCUUUACCAACCACUACUCCCUUGCUUCUUCCAUAUGGCUCCUAGGCGAGAGUCCGCUACUUCUAGGGCACAAGGCAAGCACCCAACUGAGUCGUCUCAGUCAAAGGCACGUCGAAAAGUGAGAUUUGACAUUGCCUUGUUCAGUUCCAUGGAGGACUACCAACUAUACAAGCAACACUUUGCUUAGAGACGAGUAGUUCCCAAGAGAAAUAUUAAUUUUCCUCAACUUCAGCAUUUCGAAUUUAAGGGUCUAUUUACUAGGAUGGUUGGUUGUCUAUUGUCACAAUUUCGGAGCCGGUUUUCCUGACCUUAGUGCGAGUUUUUUACUCGAGGGCGACUUAUGGCAUGGGUGGCAUGAUCAUUUCUACUGUUGGAGGAGUUGAGAUCUGUCUGGACCCAGAGAGCAUCUGCCAUAUUUUCGAUAUUGCUCUGGUUGGACUCAAAGUAUACAAGUCCAAAAUGUGGCCCAUUGUGCCAGGAUUUGAGCUUAGAGAGGUCAUUCAGAGGAUUUGUGAACUUCCAGACGCCCAGGAGAUGGGCAAACCAUUGCCACACAGUUUGACGGUCAUCAACAGGGUGCUACACCAUAUAUUGUGCUCUAUCUUUCUACCACGAAGUGGACAUUGAGAUGAGGUCUCUUAUUAUGAGGCAUUCCUUAUUGACUCCAUUCUAACGGAGAGACGAAUUCAUCUACUAUGUCAUCAUUCACUAAGCCUCCUCACAGUGACAUACCACCUCAUCAGGCACCUCUUGCUCCUGACCAUGCUCCAUUGAUGGAUUUAUUUACUCAUAUUAGCUCUCUAGGCACUCGCAUGAAGGAGUUUGUUGUAGUUAGUGAUACAUGGUUCUACUCCAUAGAGGAUCGCAUGGAUCAGUAUCAGACUGGCUUCACGUCACAGUUUGAGUAUCUCCAAUAGAGGAUUGAGCAUAUUGAGGAUCACUUGAGCAUGAGAAGAUGAUGGCUUUUCUAUGCUCUGUGUUUCCACCUCCACCUCGUCAACCUUGAUUUCUUAGAGACCCAUUGUUUUCAUUUUGUAAUGUUGCCAAAAGGGGGAGAUAUUUAGGAUCUAGGACUCUAUAGGAGACUUACAUGCAUAUCAUUUUCAUAUCAUUGUUUGGAUCGUACAUAUUGGAUAGUGAUACUUUUUACUUAUAUAUGAUAUGCCUAUAUGUUUCAUGUCUUACAUUGUUUCUUAUUGCAAAUUAUCUCUAACAUGUCUUGAUUAUCUUUUUUUUAACUUCAUAAAUUUUGAUUGUUAACCCAUGAUUGGUUUGAGGGGAAGAUUCUUCUUCUCCUAGAUAACCAAGGUUUGUCAUCAUAAAAAAAUUGGAGAUUGUUAGCCCAAGGGUUCUCCUAAUCAUGUUUUGAUGAUAACAAACCAUGCUUAAGUUACUAAUUGGUUUGAAUUAUAAAGAAUUUCAAGUGUUAAUUUGAAAAUUCAUCAAAGAACCUAAUGGAUGCAAGAUCAAGAUUUUUGGAAGACCUUUAAUCAUAAGAAACAUAUGUAAGAUGAAUGCAUGGGUGCACUUAAGAUUUGCAUAUCAUUUCAUGCAUAUUUGGAAAACACGGUUUAUGCUUUAAAGUUACAUUUCCAUCAAAAUUUGAGAUCCAUCAAAUGAACCUUAGGAAAAAUGUUUUAAAAUUGGCAUAUAAUUUUACCUAAAGACCUUGCCUAAGUGUUAGAAGCAAAAGGACAAAAAAAAUAUAGGUUUUCUGGUCAAAAAUGGUGAACCAGUCAAGGCAUUGUCUAAAUCAGCUCAAUCGGCCAAGGUACCGGUCGAUCGGUUUCCCUUUCCCUGUCGAGAUCUAGUCAAGAGGUACAAAAAUCACAAUCUCUGUCUCUUUCUCUCUUUGUCUAUCUUCCAGUAGUCUUUCCUUCCCGGUCGAGGGAUUUGCCUUCCCGAUUGAGGUCCGAUUGAGAGUAAUAGUCACUUGCCAAAUAUUAAAUGCUCCAACAGUUAGUGAACUGGUCGACCCCCACCUUGCCCAGUUGAGGUUACUUUUUGGUUUUCUUGGCUCCCGAUGUUAGAAACCUAUAAAUAGAGAGUUCCACUUCAUUUAUGAGCAAGAGAACACUUGCAUUUAUUUGUUUACCUACUUGUUCUUGCCUUAAAAGCUCUCAUUUCUUUUCUUGGUGCAUUAAAUCUCCAUUUUGAUAUCCUUUAGUGCACCUUUGUGAUUCAUCUUAGCCUUGAGUUGUAUUUGAGCCCUUUUUUUAGCUAGGUUGAGAGUUUCAUACUUGUUAAUUGAGUGUUAAAGCCUUCAAGUGAGUUGAAACUUGUAGAGAUUAUGUGAGAGUCGAUUGGAGCCGAAAUCCAAGUGUAAAGGUGAUUAGAAGCUUGGUUGAAGCUUCAAGUUAGUGGAAUCCUCACUCAAUUAGGAGCUUGAGGAGAGUGGACGUAGCCAAGGAAGUGUCGAACCACUAUAAAAUUUGAGUUUGAUUUCUCUAACAUUGUCUCUUUAUAUUUGUUUAUCUUGUGCUUAAAUUUAUUGUGUUUAAAAAGAAUUUUUAAAUACCCAAUUCACCCCCCUCUUGGGUGUUUUUCUCUUUUAAAAUUAGCCUUUAUUUUCUCACAAACUAUUGUAGUAUAGUGGUUUUUAGGUGUCAUCCAUUAGGAUGAAUUGUUCUCGGUAAUUAAGGCGUGAAUGAGAGGAGAAUUAAUGAUUGUGAUUAAGUAAAAUUGAUUUGAAAAUUCAUGGUGAAAAAUCAAUUUAACAAUGGUUUCUAAUUGAGAAAAACAAUGAAAUGUGAAAUAAAAUAAAAUUAAUAGGAAAUGAAAUUCUCGAAGUUAGAAUUUUCUAAAAAACAAAUUCCAUGGUGAAUGGAUGUUGAGAUCUAAUUUUCAUCAAGUUAGAUUGAAAACCGAAAUUUUCAUAUAAACUGAUUUUUUAUUUAGUUUUAGGUCUAGAUUUAAUUUCCCUUAAAAUUAGGUUAUUUAAUCCAAGAAAUCAAUUCAAAUCAUAUAUUCAAUUCAUCUUAAAUUAUCUUCCAAUUAUUCACACAAUGCAACUAUUCAAUCUCAUCAAAUCUAGCUUUUAAGAAUUUAAUGAAUCUACCUAGUUUGCAUUGUAAUAGUCAUCCAUGACAAUUUGAAGAGAAAAAUAAUUCAAUUAAUCAAUCACUUGGAUCAAAUUACCUUUGCAAUUAAAGUUCAUUUCUCUAAUUCACCACAGAUUUUGUCUCUAGAUCCUCCUUUCUCAAAGAAAAAUGAGAUUUAGCCACACAUGAUUGGAGAUUUGGUCUCAUAAGGCAUGUUUAGCUAGUGAUAAAAUGAGAGAAAAUAAAGAAAAAUAGAGAAUUCGAUUAAGAAAGAAAAUCUAAAAAAUUCUACAAUUAGAAAUGUCCAAAAAGCUUUUUCAUGAGAAAAUCAAGUUUCUAUUUAUAGGCCAAGGUCAAGUGGACACUUGACAUCAUCUAAGAGGUCUUCCGGAAGCUUCUUCAUCAAGAAAUCUGGAGUUUAAUAAUAAAAUGGUCAUUUCACAAGAGCUCAAACAAUUUCGCAUGAUUAUGUGAAAUAAAAAAUGCAACAACAGCAAUUUACAUCUUCUUGGAGCAUUUCGCAUGACUGUGUGAAAUUUUCACAUGAUCAUGUGGAAUCGACUUGACAACUCUCAUUUAGCCUACAACAUAAUUCCACCUUUUGGUCCAUUUUUCAUAGUCAUGCGAAAUGGAAAUAUUUGAUUUUUAAGUUUUCUUUUGUCAUUUCUUUCAUUUCCUUCUCUUGAUUCCACUUCAACUACCUCCGAAUCCUGGUCCAAACCAAUUGCAUUACUUCUUUCAUUAUGCAUUUGGAUCAUCAUCAACAUUAUUUGUUCUCUUCAAUUUGAUUCAUCUCUUUUGUCACCAAUUUAUCAAAAUCAUACCUUGAAAUGACUCCAAAACUUCAUAAAACUUGUUAGUAACUCUUGCAAGGGCAACAACAUAUUAAUUAAGUGUUUUAGGCAUAGUUACUACUCAAAAGAUGCGAAACUCAUGAUAAUUAUUAUAUAAAAUAUGCUCUUUUUGAGUAGUAAUCAACUUUCUUGCAUAAGCAGACCUUUUAGGGUGGAGUACUAAAGACCAAUAUGCUUGUCCUUGUUGUAAUAAAGAAACUUGCUCUUAUUGAUUGCACCAUGGGAGAAAAUUUUGCUACAUGAGUUAUCAUCAAUUUCUUCCCACCAAUCAUAGAUUUAGACGUGACAAGAGGCCUCUUAAUGGCAAGGAGGAACUGACACUCACACUUAUACAAUUAUCGGGCAUUGAUGUGUUGCAACAAUUAGAAUAACUUACACCAAUUAUGUUGGGGAAGUCACAAAAGGCAAACAUGAAAACUAAAAGGAAAAAAGAAAAAUGUUACAUAUCACCACAACUGGAAAGAAAAAAGUAUUUACUUUCAUUUGCCAUAUUGGAAAGCACUUAUUUUACAUCAUAAUAAUUUAGACAUAAUGCAUAUUGAGAAAAAUGUGUGACAAUAUAAUUGAGACAUUGUUCAGUAUUGACGAAGAAACAAGGACAACCUAAAUAGUCAUCUCGAUUUACAAGCUCUAACUAUUAGAAAUGAGAUUCACCCAAUAGAAAGCAGGACCAAAUUUAUUUUGCUUGCAACAUGCUACUCACUCACCCCAAAUGAGAUUAAGGAAUUUUGCAAGUUUUUGAAAUCAAUAAAGGUCCCCAAUGGCUAUUCUUUCAAUAUCUCUCGUUAUGUGCAACUCAAUGAAAGGAAGAUAUAUGAGCUCAAAUUGUAUGAUUGUCAUGUCCUAAUGCAACAACUUCUCUCACUUGUAGUUCGUGGAGUUCUACAUAAGAAUGUUUGUGGAGUUAUCAUAGAAUUGCGUAAUUUUUUCAAGCAAUUGUGCUCAAAGGUGUUAGAAACAAAUCACUUACACCAACUUGAGAACAAUAUUAUUGUCAUACUAUGUAAAAUGGAGCAAAUAUUUCUUCCAUCAUUCUUUGAUAUUAUGGUGCAUUUACUUGUGCAUCUAGUAAGGCAAAGGUUGCAAGACUUGUGCAAUAUUGUUGGAUGUACCUAAUUGAACGAUAUUGUUAUAAUUUCAUAUGAAUCAUUUAAUUUUAUUUUAUAUUAUGUUCAGUUCAUUAACAUGUACAUUGGUCUACAUAUGGAUGAUGAUAGGUACCUAAGCACUUUAAAGUCAUAUGUGCGUAAUAGAACUUUUCUAGAAGGUUCUAUUGUAGAAAGGUACCUUGCAAAAGAAUGUACAACAUUUUAUUCUAGGUACUUGAAUGAUGUGGAAAUAAAGUAUAAUCACAAUGAUAGAAACUUUGUUGGUUUCAACACUAGAGGAGAUGAAAGGGGUUAUCUUUAAACAUAUUGGACAUGCAUUGGGAAAGCCCAUAUUUCAUUAACUUAGUUCAAAAGAGUGGUCACAAGCACAUUUAUAUGUGUUGACAAAUUGCGAAGAUGUCAUACCAUUCAUUGAGUAAAAAAUUUAUUUGAAUUUUAAUUAAAGCUCUAGUUUAUAUCCUUAAUCAAUGUUUUUUAAAUUCACAAGGAGCACAAGCAAACCAUCAAGGCUAGACCACAUAUACGUGUUUGAGACGUAGAUUUAAUUCAUAACAAGGAAUUUAUCAAGUGGUUUGAAAGACAUGUAAGUAUAUUCCUUAUUAUAAGGGAUUUAUUUCACAUUAUGUUUAUAUUGAAUCCAAACCUAUUAUUGAAUUGUAGGUUGAACAAUUACAUAAUGAAGGUCAUAUAUCUGAACACCUUCUCACAUUAUCAUGUGUUCCAAAUUCAUUAGUUACAUGCUUCAAAUGAUAUAUUGUCAAUGGAUUUAGAUCCCACAUUAAAGAACGUGAUAAAAAAGUUUUUAAAAAAAGACUCAGAAUAAUGGAAUUGUUGUAGUUGCAAAAACGUCAAGCUUUACAAGUGCAUGUGAUAUGAGUCCAAUUAUUAGUGAUGCUCUCUACUAUGGUGUUCUAACUAAAGUUGUUGAGUUACAUUAUCUUGGUGAAAAUAAGGUUGUUUUAUUCGAGUUUGAUUGGUGGGAUGUUACAAAUAUUGGAAAAUUGAUAAAAGAUGAUGAGUACAAUUACACAUUUGUUAACUUUGCAUGAAUUCUAACCACGAACGAACGAUUUGUACUUGCAUCUCCAGCAAAGUAAGUGUUCUAUGUGAAGAAUGCGAAUGAAUCAGAUUGGCAUACUAUCAUGGAGAUGCAACCUCAAGACCUCUAUAAGAUGAACGGGAUAGGAUCCAAUGGUGAUUUUGAACCAUUUCAACAAAGUGAACUACAUGAUCACUAAUAUAUCUCAGAUUUAGUUGAUGAAGAUAUAAUCAAGUGGAACAAAAGUGAUGUUUUAGGACUAAUCAUCCUAAAAAAUAUUGUAGUUUCUUAAAAAAAAAAUGAAAAUGAAGAAGAUAAUUGAACCUUUGUCAUACUUUAAAAAGCAACUAUGCAUUGUUCAUUUUGUAUGUUUUGGUUUUCUUCAUUUAAUUUCCUGAUUUUUGUGAUUCAAUGUCAUAUUAUUGAUCUUGAAAUAUUUUUCUAAUUUUUCAUUCUACGAUGGUUUCAACAAGGAUGACAUCAAGUCAAAAAAGGAAAUGUGGUCCCACACACAAUAUUGCAUUACAGGGAUUAAGGUCAGGGAAGAAGGUAAAAGUUGCAUUUAAUGAGUACAAUCAAUUGGUUAAACAGAAAAAUGGAAAACACUUAUCGAGCUACAUAGGGACACUUGUAUCUAACCAACACAAUGUACCUCUCCAAGCUAGUGAUUGGAAAAAUGUUCCAAAUGAUGCAAAAGAGAAAGUAUGGCCUUUGUUUUGGUAUGUUGUAUUUCUCACUAUAUGAUGUCAUUUCACUGUUAUUCUAUUUUGUGACUAACGUUUGAAUCAUAUGUAAGAAAAAUUUGAAGUAGAUAAAGACUGAAAAGAUUACAUGUUGGGUAUAGCCUCAAAUAAAUAUAGAAGCUAUAAAAAUAUGAUGAAUGCAAAAUACUAUGACCCUUGGCAUAAGGAUGCAUGAGGAGAGGUUAAUACAUAAAUCACCAUUUGUCUCUGAUGUUGAUUGGAAGUGGCUUGUCUCUGAUGCAUAAACCAAAUCCCCCACUGAAUGUUUGAUAUUUGAUAGCAGGAAAAACACACCCGCAGCUAUACACCUCCAUCAUUCAGAUAAUUAUAGUGGGGGAGAUGAUUCAUGGUUGCCCUUAUACCCUUUAUUUGCACCAUCUAUUGAGAUUCUUUAUCAUGGCCAGGUUUUACUGCAGCAAUAAGAUAUGGUGGCAACAAUUUUAUCUAUAGGUGCGGUUCCAGACCGCCUCCAUAGGUGCGGUUCCUGACUGCCUCCAUAGGUGCCUCUUCUUGUAAUGUUUGUUCUGGGAAUUACACUUGAAAGCCUUAUCGUGAUAAGGGAUUACAAACACUAGUUCAGAGGACAGCCAUGUUAAACUUCCACUAUGUUUGUGUCACAUUAUCAGCAGCCUAGUGUUUAUUGGUCAUGCUAUCUGCAACUAAUAUAACCCGGUGAACUUCAAUCUAAAUUCUGAAAGUACUCAUGUGACAGAUGGUGCCUUUCAGCAGAUAUCAUCAAUUUAAAAGUAGUGUGUGUGCCUAUAGGUGGGAAGGCCUUGGCAAAUGUUCAGUAUUCCGGUAAUUCAAGAAGGAUAUAUCUAAAAUAGAUUUUCUUCUUGCCCAUUUCAAUAGUUAAAAUUUGAGAAGAUUGUGUCCACAUCACACAAAUAUUAUUGGUCCUUCUGUUGCAAUUUACCUCUGAACAUGUCUUCCAAUUCCCACGGUCCUGUUACUCCAGGAAAACUAUUUCGGUCAUAUUGAAAAAAAAAAUAUUAAAGAAGGUACACAUGCUUUUAAGUGGACUGGGGCAUUCAUAUCAGGUGGUCUGUAUCCACAUAUGCCACUUCGUGAAAGGUGGAACAGCCUAAUCACUAGGCUAUUUAGUGUGGCCCAGCCACGUUAAUCAAGCACAAGUCUUCAUACUUAAAGUCAAAUGGUGUCUUUAGUCUCAUUACACAUCGCUAUUUGAAGAUUAACUCAUCACUAGUGUAAUGCGAUUAAGACAGUCCUAACUCAAUAUUUGUUCUAGUUUUGGAUGCAAAUGCUUGCUGGUUUCAUCAUUGGAUGGGAUAAAGGUGCAAUCAGGACUAUGAAUACGUGCAGUAAUACUUCAUUCUCUUUUUUCUCAAUGAGACUUCUUGGCACAAUUUUGCUGCUCAGCAACCUACCUUUCCAUGGAAAAUCAGUUGUGACUGAUAGUAAUGGAUAUAUUCUAGAAAGCUAAACAUAGAUAGCAUUCAAUAUUAUCGAUAUAACAUUAACAGCGUAUGUCUCAAUGCUCAUCAGCUACAAGCAAUGGACAAACACUUUGAGUAACUCACAGCAGUCAAAAUUCCUAAACAGGACAGACGUGACAGAUCUAUAUAUAGAACACUGCAUAUGAGUCACAGGAAAAGAUAAUACGGGUACAUAGAAGCUCUUAUUUUACAUAUUACUCAUACUGAUCAAAGUCGCUCAGUUGGGAUGGAUGGGAGAAGGAGGUUUGAGGGGUGGCUUGUGCGGGGAAGUUGGCAGCUUCUUUCCGGGAGCUGGUUGCUUCUUUGCUGGAGUUGAAGGAGGCUUAAUCUUCCGAGGUGGCUUGUAUGAGUCUUCAGCAUUCUCAGCAGGAGGGUGACCAGGGUUGUGACCAUAAUGUGGUGGCUUCUCUCCCUUAGGUGGUUUGCCAACUGGGGUUGGUGGCUUGUUUUCUGGGAGUGGCUUCUCUCCCUUGGGUGGUUUGCCAACUGGGGUUGGUGGCUUGUGUUCUGGGAGUGGCUUCUCCCCCUUGGGAGGUUUUUCGAAUGGGGUGGGUUUGUGUCCUGGUGGUGGCUUCUCUCCCUUGGGAGGUUUACCAAUUGGGGUCGGUGGCUUGUGUUCUGGGAGGGGCUUCUCUCCCUGGGGAGGUUUAGUGGGUGGCUUGUGUUCUGGAGGUGGCUUCUCCACCGGAGGCUUAUGCUCUGGUGGUGGCUUCUCGAAGGGGGGAUGCUCAGGGUAAUCACCAAGUGAGGGGGUGGUGAGAACCACCAUGCCAAGCAACAACACUAGCAAGUAUGUAGUAGACAUCUUUGGGUUUGGACUCAGACAGUGCAAAACUACGAGAAAUCGCUAGCCCUUUAUAGCGGCUCGGACCUAAUACUGACAUAAUAUAAAAUAAAUAUUAUAUUUUAUCAAGAGAGAACAGAGUGUAAUUUUAUCAUUAAUACCGAUCGAGGCCAAAGAAAGAAGACCCAUAAUCCAUUUCCCACAAGCAUACACAAUGCAGCUGUAAUUUUAUCAUUUACUUUUAUCCCUUGGACCACUGCAUUUUUGUUGAGAGACACAAUAACACAUUUUUAUCUGUCAUUCAACAUUUACAGUAAAGAGAGGGCACAAAACGCAAUUAGAUAAAUUAUGUUUUGCCUGCUAAAAAGAGGCAAAUAACUUUAUUUGCAACAUAAUUAUUUUGGUUUCUAGUGACCCCGGGGCCUUUCGGUUGGUUUGGGAUCGGAAAAUGAACAUCAUAGGGGGGGUUGUGCCCUUAUGGGCAUAUAUAUCUGAUAGCUUCAACUGGCCUUGUUCCUAGAAAGAAAUUGCCAAAGAUAUAAACUUAUUCCAGGCUGAAAGUAGAUGAGAGUCAUAAUGAACAUCAACCUUUGUUCAGUUUGAUUCAAUGCCCCCAUAGUGUUCAUUUCACAGAUCUGAAUGAUUAUAUCCGUUGAAUACAUAAAUUAAUGAAGACAAAUAUGAAACCCAAGAUACAUCUCUGCAUAACAACCCCAACCCUGGUUGCUAUGUUUCCCUUCUUCUAUUCACAUGAGGAUACUGGUUAUAAUUGUCAAACUUGCAACAAGCCCUUUGACACCUAACGUCAAUGGACGAAUUAAAAGUCUCCUUCAAACGUCUAUUUCACAGCAUGAAGCUUAUAAAGGAUGCUGACAACCUUCAGAGUUAGCGACAAAAGAUAAUUAUCAAGGAGAGAUAGUUCCAUGAGAAUUCCAAGGAGUCUGAAUCAAAGACAAAUUGCUCACUCAAGGGUUCUUAUUUUCUUUUAGGUACAAAUCUCUUGAGUGUUGUUAAAGAAACACGUCACUGUCAUUUUGAUUUGCAUUUAACAUUUCACUUUUGUUCUGGAAGGUUUGUUCCGGAAACAUAUCAAAUGAGCAUCAUUUUCUUCUUCGGUGACACAUGGUCGCGAGUACGUGGGUCCAUUUUCAUGCCACUUAGUUGAAAAGUUGGAAAGAAAAAACAUGCCAACAAGAAGAUAGUGAGAGAAGGGGCACUUCAAGCCUUUAACAUGAACAAACAGUAAAUAAAAGAUGUUUCUCCACUCAUAAAAGUGUGUUAGAUAGCAAUAUAACGAAUCACAUCCAAAAUCUUUACUAGGCUCAAACAUAAAGAAGACUCAUUUUUAAGAAAAGAUAAAAAUGGCAUUGUCUGAUAGUAUCCAAUACACGAGAUGGCACUUAAUUUGUACAAGAUCUGUCAAUGCUGACGCACAUUUUCUGAUUAAAAAAAAACUGAUCAGUCAAAAGCAAUGAAGAGAAGUGAUGACAAUGAAUGAUGCUUCCAAUAUUUUCACCCCUUAUAGUGUUCUUCAUGAUUCAGAUAUAUAAUUGGAAAUAGAACAACCCUAUGCCAUACAUUCGUCUAAGUAUGGUGUCUAAUUUUUUGUGUCAGCGGUUGCGAAUGGAGCGUGCAAAAGUCCAAAUUGGCGUCUCUCCAUUUCCACAUAGGAAGGUGACCUUUAUUGACAAAUACCCAAUAUUUGUAGACAUUCCUUAAAUAUCAUAACUUCUUGUUGAUUUGAAAAUCAUUUUUCAACUACCAUGUUUUAAUAAAUAUUUUUUAAAAUGUAUUUUUAUCAAAGUCCACCAUGAUGGAUAAUAUUCACCAUGCAAUAAUUAAUAAAGUACAAACUAAGCGAAAUGAAAAGCAUUUUCUUUGCUUUGAGUUGAUUUUGGUUGCAUUGAGUUGAUUUUGGUUUCAUGGUUUUUUCAACUCUUAUUUUGAUUGGAAGAUGUCAAGAAAAGAAAACAUAAAGAAAAAUUAAAAGGGAAAAAAGAAGAAAAAUAAAAAAAAAUAGAUUUAAAAGUUAAUAAAUUAUUUUUUAUAUUUAUUUUAAUUCAUUUCACUUAUUUUUCUUUUACUAUAUAAAAUUUAAAUAAUUUAAAUUUUAUAAUUAAUUUAAUUACAUUUCAUUUUCUUCUAUAUUUAAAUAUUGGAAAAAUAUUUUACUUAAUAUUUUUUUCUUUAAUUUCUUUGGCAUUUUGGGAACCAAACUUAGCCUUUAAAAUAAAAAACAAAAAAAAAAUGAAAAUAAGGAGGGAAAAGUGAGAAAAGAUAAAAACAAUAUGUAAAGGAUUUGAAAAGUAUUAGUUUGUAAUUACUAUUUGGAUUUCAAUAGUAUUUUAUUUGUCUUUCUAUAUUUCAUGUAAGAGAGAAUUUAAGAUAUUCCCCAAGGCAAAGCAUUAGUUACCUGCAAUCAGUGGUGAUAAGGCUCCAAGCCAAUUUUGGGCCCCAUAUCUUAAGACAGUACAAUUUCCAUUUCAACAUUUCUGAUUUCUCAGAUGUUUCACAUACCACAGAAGAACAUUGUUUGUGAAAAUAUGCAUUUAUGUUGGAUUUUGUAUGCUGUGGGGACUGGGGCAAGGAUCAUAUGGAAGAGUGGUUGACUUUUUCUGUACUUUAACGGUUGAAAUAGGAUAAGCACGGGCAUUUGUGAGGCUUAAUUGAUUUUGAAGCCUGAAAUUGCGUUUCUGUCAUUUUGUCAAAAAAAUGGCAGAUUCCAUACUCAUAUGUUUGGCCUGUGGCCAUGUACAGAUGCCAUUUAGUGACCAGUUUGUAACUGUCAAUCGUUGCGUUUUGACUCUGCCUCAACAACAUCUGCCAUUGACGGGUUUUCAUACUUGCAAAUCAAAUAGUCUUUCGUCCCAUCAGGAAUUUCGGUUUAAAUAUUAUUAAGCAUACGUUUGGCUGACAAUCAUUAUCCAGUUCAUGAUUUGGUUUCUUACCCUUAAUCAAUGGUUUCUAAGUGAAUAUAUGUAGAAGGAAAUCCGAAGUGUAGACAGUAGUAUCGAUAACUCUCAAUAUUCUCUAUAUAAUAGAAUAAACAGCGUCAUAGUGAUCGUCGCCUACAAGCAAGGUACAAAUACCAAAACGAGUGACUCACAUAGACAUCUCCCAACAAGAUGUAGUAGUGACUGACACAUGGACACAAUUAACUCGUAGAAAAGGAUAAGACCAUUGCACAGCAGCUCUUAUUUUACAUACUACUUAUGCUAACCAAAGUCAAUUAGUUGGGAUGGGUGGGAGAUGGAGGUUUGUGCGGUGGCUUGUGGGGCGGAGUUGAUGGCUUCUUUCCAGGAGCUUCUGGCUUUUUCAUCGGAGCUGAAGGAGGCUCAAUCUUAUGAGGCGGCUUGUAUGAGUCUUCUUUACUCUCGACAGGAGGGUGGCCAGGGUUGUGAUCAUAAUGUGGUGGCUUCUCUCCCUUAGGUGGCUUGCCAACUGGGGUUGGUGGCUUGUGUUCAGGAAGUGGUUUCUCUCCCAUGGGAGGUUUAGCAAUUGGGGUUGGUGGCUUGUGUUCUGGGAGUGGCUUCUCUCCCUUGGGAGGUUUAGUAGGUGACUUGUGUUCUGGAGGUGGCUUCUCCACCGGAGGCUUGUGCUCCGGUGGUGGCUUCUUGGUUGGAGGGGGCUUGGGGUAAUCAGCAAGAGAUGGGGUGGUGAGAACCACCAGUCCAAGGAACAACACUAGCAAGUAUGUGGGAGACAUUUUUGAGUUUGGGCUGAUCAGAUGAUGCAAAACUAAAGCAUUACGUGACCUUUUAUAGCAUGUAGCUCCCAAUACCCACUAAGUAUUGUGGGGUCCAUUUGUGCCCUACGGGGUUGAAAACUUAGACAAUUGGGCAAGGACCCACCUGACUAUGGAGGACUAGUGAGGUGUGAUCAUAGCUUUAGGAUUUUUCUUCCUCUGCAGCCGUCGUGCCGUUGGCAUGAUUUUCUUAAUCUUAAAUAAAGGCAUAGUUAUAGAGUUGUUUAAUCUCUAAAUGGGAUUUUAUAUAUAUCUUCAGAUAGCCAUUAAUAUAUUUGAUGAAGAAAGAAAGACAAGUGCAUACAACAUGUAUACGACUAGCUUUCAUGGAGUUCAUUUAUGAUCAGUUUUCCUGUACAUGUAAACCAGGAUCAUAUAUAUGUUUCUGUUCCACAACUAUUUUGGAAUCUUGUUUAUCAGUUUUUAUCAUUAUAAUGUCACAUAGGCUGCCAACUUGGGCGCUAAAAGAACCAGUUGGGCUAGUUCGUUUCAGAAUUUCAAUGUGGAUUCAGGAAUUGUUUUGUAAGAUAUGCGAAAUAGUAGAGGGAUGAAUAGUGUUUCAUUAAUAAAAGUGUCCUGUAAAUUAGAAGGUGUCAUAGAAACUAUAAUCAAUAAAUAACUUUUUUUCCCCACGGGUGGUGUUUCUUGUGGGGAUCAGUGACUGGUUUAGGUUCACCCAAAAUGAGUUCAGACUAAAAUUGGUUUGAGUCAAUGCCGUGUCUCUUUUUUCCAGAAAUCAACUAUUUUAUGCAUUGAAUAAAUCAUACAAAGAAAAUAUGAACGCCCGCAAAACCUAAACCCUGGUUGCUAACUUUCUAUGUUUCAGUUCUAUUCACGCAAGAAUAUUAGUUUAAGUUUGGGAAAAAUGGCAACUUACCUAGUGAUUACUUGGUUUUGGUUUGCGACUAUUUACGCAACCAACCAUGAGUUUGACUUUAACGUCAUGGGUUGAAGCCUCCUACAGGAAGGGAGAAAGCUCCACAGCUAGCUCCAAAAGAGAAUUAUCACAUUGAUAGCUCCAGAGAUUCCCAAGGGGACUGAAUCAAAGACAAGUUCCUCACUUUUUCUUCUUUUGAGGCCAAAUAUGAACCAAGGAUCACACAACCUCAUUCAACUUCAUAAGUUUGAUUUCAUGCAGUUGAACACUGGGUGAAGGCCAUGACAAGAAUUGAUUCAAAAAUUCUAUCACUCUUUUAAGUAAUGGAAGAUUAUUAUCUCUGAUUGGCAUCACAACAGCACAUGCUCCUAGAUCUUUCUAGACACUCCAUGCAAUGAAAGCACAAUGGAUCUUGUAACGAUAGAAACUAAGCCAUGCUACAGUACUAGAUGAUGAGGUAAAACUAGUAGACACGGGUGGCAGCCUAUAUGGGAGGGACACAAGUCUAAUUGAUUUGCAUUUCAGCAUUAUAGAUAGGUAUGUUUUGGAAGAUUUGUUCUGGAAAUACCGCACCAAGUAGGAUUCUUUUUCUCUUUAGUGGGUCCACUUGCAUGCCAAUUAACGAGUUGAAAAGUAUGAGCACCUACCUCGUGCUCGUGGAACCGAAGGUCAGUGAAGUGGGGCUCCUUUUGGCCUCGUGUAAACUUGAUUCAGAAGUGAAGUUAAUAGUCUUCCAUUCAGAUGGAUACAUGGGAAUUUUUCUCUUUUAUUUAUUUAUUUAUUUUUUUUUUGUGUGUGUAUGUCAAAGGAUAAUGAAUGAAGCGCGUUAGCUUGUUUUCUGACUGGAACCGCAGAUGUCCAAAUUGGAGUUCCUUCAUUUCUUACUUAGGAUUGUUACAUGUAUAAACAAGGUAUAAGAAAUAUGCCAACGUGUCUUGAGGAGUUAUUGAUUAGAAAUAACAAGUCACCCGACUGUAGAGUUCCAAGAUUUGAAUCUUCAGACCCUAUAGCAGCCUCUGGGGUACGUGGCAUCCUAUAGCAUAUUAAUGAAGGCUUUUUCGAUUUAGACUUCACAAUACCAAUUAAUAUGUAUGCACAAAAUGGAGAUGACCCCAAAAAAAACAGAAUCGCCAUAGUUUAUGAGGUUAAGGUGAUUCUCCACUUAAUAUCUACAUUAGCUAAUUAUGUAAAUCAAAUGAACUUCUAUUUUUCCUUUUUUUUUUUGGUUUAUGUCAAAUAGUAGCCCAUAAUUAACCCAACCAUUAGCCUGUUUGAAUUGAUUUCACAUGCACAAUGUUGUAGUAGUUCAUAUUUUGAAUUUUAUUUUUACAAAGGUAGUUAAGGAAAAUGAAGUAUAAUAAUUAUAAAAGCAGACUAUAUACACUACAAUAAUUGUUAGAAUGGUAUCUCAAAUUCUAAUUUAAAAUAUUAUUUUUUGUAAAAGAAAUAUUAUAUAGAAUAUUUCCUAAUUUUAUAAAUGAUUAUAAUUAGAUCUUUAUAAAAUAAGGAAAGUUGGUAAGAAUAUCUUUAUAAAUAUUUUAGGUCAUGAGAGAAAGAAAUGGGAUAAAAAUGUGAUGAAGAGGUGAAAUAAGAGAGUUGAUUAGGAUAUAGAUGUGAAGAAGAAAGGGAUUCAAUAUAUAUAUAUCUUUCAAUUACCACAUUAAAACCCUGUGAACCUUUUAUAUGGUUUACUUUAUUUUUAUAUUCCUCCUUUAAUAUAUUUACAUUAAUGCUUCCAUUGGCACAACAAUAACGAAUUACAAAUACAAGCAACAAGUCCCAUGUUUUAUUACCAAAAGCAGGUAAAAUCCACCUAAUAUAUUACAAUAUAUUCAUCCAAUAUUUUAGACCAAUUCUUCACCAUAAAUAUCAUAAUGUGGCUUUUGUUCUUUCUUAAAUUUAAAUUGAAUUGUCUUAUAUCAAUUUGUUUGUGAUUUUUUCAUUAACUUCACUUUCAUUUGGUUAUCUUUGGUUUUUGAAAAGUAUUAAGGAAUUAAUUAACAAAAUAAUGUUAAGAAAAAUAAUUUUCUCUCUUUUGAUUUUGAUUUUGUAGUAGAAAAAUAUAAUUAAAAUUAUUUAAAAAGUAUGUAAUUUUAAAUUAUUUAAUAUUUAGAUAAAAAAAAUAAGUCUAAUGAGUUUAAAAUAACAUAUAAAAAUAAUUUAUUUAUUUUAAAUUUAUUUUUUAUUUUCCAUUAUGUUCUCUUUCUCUUUUACUUUUUCAUAUUUUUUCUUACGAAGAAUCAAACACAACCUCAUAUUAUAUGUCAAGUGUUUGUCUAUAUUUGAGCAAUGUUAGAUACGGCCAUGGAUUCAUCAAACUAAACUGAUUUUAAUAGAUACUUCACAAAUUGAUUUAUACACUAAAUCAUUGGAUAGCAAUGAUGCAUUGGAAUUAAACGUAGGAUGAAGCUCGAAGAACACUGUUUGUGUAACAACAUAUUUAUGAAAUUAUGCAAAGGAUGAGCUUCGGGGUAGUAGUACAAGGUCAUUAAUGGAGAGCCGUGUUAAACCUUGAUUGUGAUUGGAUUCCGUUAUCAGCAACAGCAACCUUGUUUGUAACCUUGAAAGUCAUUCUGUCCACAUCGAAACUCCAAUUUGACGUUUGUAAUUACCAUUCCUGGAGUGUUCCUUGAUUGAAAUUUAAAUAAUAAUUGCGGCCCACAAGGAAUAUUUUCGAUUCUGUGGGAAUUUGACAAGGUUUGUUAGAGAAGACUGGUGACAUGUUGACUUCAAUGGUUCAAAUAGGAGACGUAUGUGGAUUUGGGGGGUUUAAUUGAAACUGAGUCCCUAUGGCUUUUUAAUAUUUGCAUUGAGCAGUCUCCAUGUGACUUCCUAAUUCCCACCAACCCUCCUGUCCAUGCUGUGAAACUAAAUUGUAAUUUAUCAGCCUUUGUCAAUGGUUUCUAAAUUAAAGAUAUAGACCAUGCAUGUACUUUAAUAAAAGCAAAUCUAAAGUGUAGAUAGCAGCAAUGGUGACACCCAAUAUUCUCCAUAAAAUAGAAUUAGAAUAAGCAGUGUUACAUUGUUCAUGAUCACCUACAAGCAUACAAGAACUUCCAUGAAUAACUCAUAGCAAUUGCCAACAGGGCGUCGUAGAGACUCAUACAUAGAACACUAUCCACCCAGAGGAAAGGACAAGACCAGUGCGCUGCAGCUCUUAUUUUUCACAUGUAUACCACCACUCGUAAUAACCAAAUUCACUCAGUUGGGAUAGGUGGGAGAUGGUGGUUUGUGGGGUGGCUUGUGGGGAGGAGUUGGAGGAGGCUUUAUUUUCUGAGGCGGCUUGUAUGAGUGUGCAGGAGGAUGCCCGGGAGUGUGACCAUAAUGUGGUGGCUUCUCUCCCGUAGGUGGUUUGCCAAAUGGGCUUGGUGGCUUCUCUCCCUUAGGAGGUUUACCAAUUGGGGUUGGUGGCUUGUGUUCUGGGAGUGGUUUCUCUCCCUUGGUAGGUUUGCCAAUUGGGGUUGGCGGCUUAUGUUCUGGGAGUGGCUUCUCUCCCUUGGGAGGUUUGCUAAUUGGGGUUGGCGGCUUAUGUUCUGGGGGCGGCUUCUCUCCCUUGGGAGGUUUGCCAAUUGGAGUUGGCGGCUUAUGUUCUGGGAGUGGCUUUUCUCCCUUGGGAGGCUUGCCAAUUGGGGUUGGCGGCUUAUGUUCUGGGGGUGGCUUCUCUCCUUUAGGAGGUUUGCCAAUUGGAGUCGGCGGCUUAUGUUCUGGAAGUGGCUUUUUUCCCUUGGGAGGUUUGCCAAUUGGGGUUGGCGGCUUAUGUUCUGGGGGUGGCUUCUCUCCCUUGGGAGGUUUGCCAAUUGGAGUCGGCGGCUUAUGUUCUGGGAGUGGCUUCUCUCCCUUGGGAGGUUUUGUUGGUGGCUUGUGUUCUGGAGAUGGCUUCUCCCCUGGAGGCUUGUGCUCCGGAGGUGGCUUCUGAAAUGGCGGGGGCUUGGGGUAAUGAGCAAGAGAUGGAGUACUGGUGAGAACCACCAUUCCAAGCAACAAUACUAGCAAGCAUGUGGGAGACAUCUUUGAGUAGUUGUAGCUAAGAUGGCGCAACACUGUAGGCAUUGGGUGGCCUUUUAUAAAGGGCUGGACCCAACAGCCAUAUGACACGUGUCAUGAUGACAAAUGAAGUUGAGGGGAUCCAGAUGGGUCCUACUGAGUCGAAAACUUGCACUAAUUGAUCUGGUGAGAUGACUAUUUCUGUCCUUUUGCCCUUCUCGGCCACCCUGUGCUGUUUUCCUUUUGCACGAUUUUCGUUGCCAAACAAGCAAAUAAUAUUUCGCCAAGAAAGAGGAGAGUGAAUGUGGAAUGCAUCAAGUCCCAUCAAGGAUGGCAGAGAAGAAAUAGAAGAUUGCCCAACUGUGAUAAACAUAGCAUACACGUAGCACCAGGAACUUCAUUUACUUCCAUCUAAUGGAACAUAACAAUCUUCUAAAGUUUUUGCAUGAUUUUGUUAUAUGUCUCUUAGCCUAAAGUUGGAAAUGCGCAACAAAUUUUGUCACUUCUCUAUUUCCCACUGAUGAUGUUAAUUAGCCUUCAUAGAUAUCAUCCUUUCUACAAAGUGCUUCAUUUGUGUGUUAUUGUAAAGUGUAAGAAAAGUAAUUGAACAUGUUCUUUUUCCUUUCAUAGAUGACUUUUGAUGUGCAUUUUAAAAGCAGCGCUGUGAGUCGGUGACCUUGAUUCACACGGAAACUAAGGCUCCUAUAGGACCCACUUUUAGCUGGUUAGGGGUGAAGAAAAUAUCAACUUUUCAGAGUGAUUUAAGUCAAGGCCAAGCCUCACUGUGUCAUUACUCGUGUGAAUUUUAUAUGCACAUACAUACAUAAAUAAAGUAUGAGACCCAAAUAACACCUUCCCUUUACAAACUUAACCCCAGCCGCUCUCUUUCAAUUCUUUUCACACAAGGGUAUUGACUCUAUAAAGGUCAAGAAAAUCAUAAUUUCCUAGGGUUUACAAGGUAAUUGGCUUAAUGCUAAUGUGAAAACAUAAAAGAUAAUAGUAUAUUGUAAGCUAACGAAUAUUCUAUAGUUAUAAUUAUUUGUGAUGUGCAUAAAUAAAUCUUCAUAUAUAUAAUGGAACAAUGAAUAAAGAACCAAUGAAAAAAUACUAUAUAUCAUUGCUUGGCAUUUAAACCGUAUAUGCUGCUCUUUCUAGCUACUCCAUCCACUGAAAGACAACAAGGUAAUCCAUGUUAUAAUGAUAGAAGAUACUGUCUCUAGGCUUUUUGUGAUGAAAAAUAUAAGAUAUGGGUAGGGUUGACCCUUGUAUGUUUGUCCUAUAAACACUUCAAAGUAACAUAUUUUUCUUCUUUAGCAACUCAUAAUGAUGGGGUUCAUUUGCAUGUCACUGAGUUGAAAAGUUGGACAAUUGCCCAUGUCGCCUUCCUCCUAGAUUCCGUAGUUCACGGGAAGGUAACUCAAGUUUGACAUAUUUUGAAUUCUUUUCACUCGGACGUCUUCAUAACCUGACAAAACAAAAAUGAAAAACAGAGGAUUGGUAUAUUAUUCAUGGUAAGCCUCAAAUUAUAGUAGUAUGAGAAAGGAGAAAAAGAUUUUGGGAACUCCAAUCUGGAUAAUUCUCGUUUCUUCUCUUGAAUAAAAAUUUCACUUACCUAACUUCGUUUGGAGAAAUGGCAUAUUUUAAUUUUGUACGUCAUUGCUAAUAAAUGGAGCAAUUUAGCAUGUUUUGUGACUGAAACUGCAAAUGUCCAAUUGGCAUUUCUUCAUUUCCCACUUAGGAUCUGAUCUUGUAGACCAUAUAACGAUAUGUAUCUGUGCAAGCAUUGAAAACUAAUGUGAACUAUGAGGAGUUACAAGCCACUGGACUGUAGAGCGAGUGCCAAGAUUUAAAUCUUCAGGCUCUAUCUGGGUAAGGGGAGGAUAGCGACCUAACCUUUUACCAAAGGCUUAGAAUUUAGACUUUUGGAAAAAAAUUUCUCAUGUUUUGGCUGGAUUUCUUGUGCUUGGCGCAAAAAGGAGAUGGCCUCAAGAAAUAGCAGACUCACUUUUGUUUUCAGCCCUUAAUAAUUCUCCACUGCUUUCCAUAACUACAUGGGUUAUACAUGCAGUCUGCUGCAAUAUUCCAGUUAUAUUUAUUAUUUCAAAGAGGGUGAAUGACUUCACAUGCAAUAUGUUGCAGUAACAACCCAAAUUUUGGCACACCAUCUUAAGAAUAGAAAAGUAUAAUAAAAGAAAUCAAUCAGAGAAUCACUUUGCAUGCAGUUCAUAGAGUUCGCCCAAAAUGGAGCCACAUGUACGGACAACCCCACAAUAGACAAUCUUCUCUAUACAGUAAUAAAAUACAGAAAUGGUUAAUGAAGCUCUGUAUUUCCUUAUCAUAUAUGACCGGUUGAAAACUCAGCAAGUCUUCCUCAAUCACAGACAGUUGGAGUUGCUUCAUCAAAAUCAUGCCUUCAUUACUGGCUUCAUUUUGGUUUCAAUGUCUGUUCUACCCUUAAAUUGGGUCUCUGCUUACUACCGGGAUAUCCUUUAGCGUCCUGCAAUUCUACUAGAUUAAAGAGAAUGACUUAAUUCUGCAUUCUGCCGUCCCUAGUCCAAGUGGUACUAGAAUUGAUGUUUCCUUUAGUGUCCUUUCUUCAUACUUUCAGGUUCUUCCCUUGUUUCAAUAAUGCUGUUUUCCUUCAUGUUUAACCUCUGUUGAACCACUUAAAACAACACAAUUUGCACACCAAUGUUUCUUUACAGAAAAGACUGUUUGCAAAAAUGCACAUGUUAUAAGGUUAAUGGAAGAAUUAAUUUGGGGAUAAGGGACUAGGAUUGGGCCAAUGAAGUUUGGUGUUAAAUUUUGAUUAUGAUUGCUUUUCAUUAUCAGGUACCUUAUAUUUGCUGAUGCUAUCUGGAACUAAAUUCAAAUCAGACAUUAUCCGAUUACUAACAGGACAUAUCAUGUCCCUCUGCAGAGUUUCUAAACUAACAUGUAUCGAAAUGUGGCCCCAAAAGGAAGGCUAGGAAGAUGGAGGAUUUUGUAGGAAUCGACCAGAAUCAGAUGGAAGAGAGAUAGUCCUGUUGACUUUAAUGGUUGUGAUAGGAACAUGCAUCAUUAUAUGAGAAGUUGCAUGAAUUUAUGUAUCCUGUUAUCGUUCCUUGACGAUUUCCCAAUGCAAUUUCACUGUCCACAAGACUAACCUCUCCAUGCAGUCAAAUGAAUUGUAAUUUCUCUAUUGGUACCAGUAGUACAUUUCAUACCAAACAUAUAGUAAAUAUAAAAUAUAAAUAGAUCAAGGAAAUCUGAAUUGUAGAUAGCACUGCAAGUAACACUCAAUAUUCUCUAUAUAUAAUAAAAUAAACAGUGUCACAAUACUCAUCACCCAGUGGCAAGGGAGAAAAACCUACAAUGAGUACUCAAAUCACCAUUCUCAAACAGAAACAUAGCAGUGACUGAUACAUAGAACCUAUAUGCUCACAGGGAAAGAAUAAGAUGACCAGUGCACAGCGGGCAGCAGCUCUUAUUUUACGUACAACUCAAAUCCCAAACUAACCAAAGUCGCUCAGUUGGGAUGGGUGGGAGAUGGUGGUUUGUGGGAUGGCUUCUGGGUAGGAGCUGGUGGCUUCUGUCCCUUUGGUGGUUUGCCUAAUGAGCUUGGUGGCUUGUGCUCCGGGAGUUGUUUCUCUCCCUCGAGUAGGUUUCGAGUCUUGUCAGAUGGCUUGUGUUCUGGUGGUGGCUUCUCUCCCUGGGGUGGUUUGCCGAAUGGGCUUGGUGGCUUGUGUUCGGGGAGUGGCUUCUCUCCCUGGAGAAGGUUACGAGUUUUGUCAUAUGGCUUUUGUUCUGGUGGUGGCUUCUCUCCCUGGGGUGGUUUGCCGAAUGGGCUUGGUGGCUUGUGUUCGGGGAGUGGCUUCUCUCCCUGGAGAAGGUUACGAGUUUUGUCAGAUGGCUUGUGUUCUGGUGGUGGCUUCUCUCCCUGGGGUGGUUUGCCGAAUGGGCUUGGUGGCUUGUGUUCGGGGAGUGGCUUCUCUCCCUGGAGAAGGUUACGAGUUUUGUCAGAUGGCUUUUGUUCUGGUGGCGGCUUCUCUCCCUGGGGUGGUUUGCCAAAUGGGCUUGGUGGCUUGUGUUCGGGAACUGGCUUCUCUCCCUUGGGAGGUUCAGUUGGUGGCUGCUGUUCCGUAGGUGGUUUCUUCACCGGCGGCUUGUGCUCCGGAAGCGGCUUCUCUACCUGGAGAAGCUUACGAGUUUUGUCCGAUGGCUUGUGUUGUGGUGGUGGCUUCUCUCCCUGGGGUGGUUUGCCAAAUGGAGUUGGUGGCUUGUGUUCGGGGAGUGGCUUCUCUCCAUUGGGAGGUUUAGUUGGUGAUUGGUGUUCCGUAGGUGGUUUCUGAAGUGGGGGAUGCUUGGGGUAGUCAGCAAGAGACGAGGUAGUGAGAACCACCAGUCCCAGCAGCAACACUAGCAAGCAUGUGGAAGACAUCUUUGAGUUCAGGCUGAGAUCUGUGCAAGGAUAACAGAAUUAGGUGGCCUUUUAUAGAGGCCUGGACCCAACACCCAUAUGACACGUGUCAUGCACUCAUGGUGACACAUAAUUCUAUGGGACCAUUUGGGUCCUACAGAAGUUGCAAAGUUGGACUACUGAGGUGUGAUCACAACUUUUGUCCUUAUUGCUUUCUCUGCGGCCAUUGCACGAUUUCCUUUAGCAUCAUUUUCUUGGCUAAAUAAGCGUAUUAUAUUUGUGGCAGACCGUCCACGUGUCAUAAACAGAUAUAUUAUAAUAAUGUAGUAUGCUUUUCUCCAAUGGAACAUGACACUCUUCUAAGUCUUGUUUUAAAUAUUGUGCAGGAUUACUUUAUACGUUGCAGUUCCAAGUCAAAAUUGGUGGGCAAACGUUGGCCUUUUUUCAUUUCACCUAAGAUUAAUGCUCACCUGGGAUAGGCACUACAUGACUUAUCUGCUCUUUUACUGUAAAGUUGCUUUGUGUAUGAGAUACACCUCCCCUGCACACCCUCAACAUUCGUUGCUCUGUUUUCCUUGUGUCCAGACGAGGAUAUUAAUUGGAGGCUGACAAAACGACUGCUAGCCCAGGAUUUACAAGGUCCUGGUUUGAGGCUUCGGUGAAAGUAUUUUUGAAAAGACACACAUAGAGAUAGUGCGUUUGGUGCAAUGCAGCACUGUGAGCCAUUCUGACGCGUUCUUAAUUUCAAAACUAAUGAAUGCUUCAAAAUUUUAAGAAGUGACAUUUCCAAAUAUUUGAGUUCGUUUAAUUGAACAUUGGAUAACUAGUGAUCAUAGAUUAUUAUCUGUGCUUGGCACUAUAAGAGGGUAUAUGCUUCUUUUUCUGGCCCCUCCUUCAAGGGAGGAGGGACAAUGUGAUCUGUAACGUUAGAAGCUAUUCCAUGUCAUCUUUGGGCUCAGUUCAAAACUAAAAGAUAAUGGGGGGGGGGGGGGGGGGCAUAUCAUUUUAUAUUUCUUCUAGAAGGUUUGUUCUGGAAAUAUUUCACAGGAGCAUAUCUUUUUCUUCUAUUACGUCAUCCGCAGCCUCCAAUAGGUCGGUUAACAAGCCACCGAGUUGAAAAGUUGGAAAAAUGGGAACACAGCCCGCCUCUUGUAUUCAGUAGUUAAAUAAAAGGUCACUAGAAGUGAGAUCCCUUUUGGCGUCUUGAUUUUCAAUCCAGCACCUCUGUGACCUGACAAACCAAAAAAACUAAAAAAUAAAAAACAGUACGUGGGUUGGUGUUAAGCAUCAAGACAUGUUAAUGAAAGAAGGUAGAGAAUAGGAUAUUGAAAUCCCAAUCCUGAUAACAUGAUUUUCUUUGCUAACAACCAUAUUAUAUUUUAUCAAGAAAGAGUAAUGCAUGUGGCGUCCAUCAAGACCCAUUAGAGUUCCGCUAAAGCUAUAGUUCUGUCAACGUUAUCAUUUACGUUUCCUCUAGAUAAUGGCAUUUUCCUCUAAAGCUCUUGCACCAUUAGGCUUCAAGUCAAAAUUUCACAUGUGAACUUUGGAAAUUUUCUCCAUUUGCCCCUAAGGAUACAGUUAGAAUUGACUUAAAAUCCUGAUUGAUAUGUACUAUUAACCAAAGAAUAUUGUAUAUAAUAAUUGAAAUAUUGUUGAUUCAUCGUGGAAAUACAUUUUGUAAGGAAAGUUGUUGAGAAUUUAGUAUGCUAUAUGGAGAAAAAAGUCAUGACUUAAGGUUGUGUAUGUAUAUUCUAUAUCAAAUAUUAGGUAGGAAUGUGGGAAAGAGCAGAGUGUAAUGAUAAGAAACAAAGAAAUAUAAGAUAUUCUUGAAAGUGGAAAAUAUAAAAUGGCUAACGAGUCAAAUUUAUGAUGCGUAAGGGGGAUCAUGUCACAUAAGAAAACCAUGGCAUACUAAAGACGUACGUGUGGUAUGGAGUAAUAAUUUUGUUAAAAUAAGUUUCUUGUUGGAGUACAUUAGGUGACUAUUCAUAACGUAUCAAAUUAAAGAGUCAAGUGCAUCAAUGAAGGCAUAUGUAGAAAAUUUGUUUGUGACAUGUACCAUAAAGAUAAGAUUGACUUGAUAGAAUUUAGUCUAAGUAGGAGUUGUUAAAGGUGUCUUAAAUUUCUAAUUGAUGUAUAUUUUUUUCUAAAAAAAUAUUAUAUAGAUAUUUUAAUAAAUGAUUAAUUCUUUGUAAAAAUACUUACAUAAUAAAAAACAUCAUUAAAAAUAUCUUUAUAAAUAUUUUAAGUUACAAGAAGGAAAAAAACCACUGUGAGAUAAUGAUGAACAUGCAACACUGUACCAAGUAAAUAAAAAUGUGAUAAAAAAAAAAGAGAAACACUCGAUAAAGGAAGGCUCGUAUAUAAAGAGUAAUAUUUUUAAUCAUAUGAUAGAAUGAUUUUCUCUCAUUCAUGAAUAUAGGCAAGAUUGGGGAACCAUUAUAAAAUUUUGUACACCUCGUGUAAAUUGAUGUUUGUCUUCAUAUUUUACACCAACAAAUGACAUUGAAGUUGUCAUUGAUAAAAGGGAAAAGGCAUGCCUCCACACCAUGUGCUUGAUUCGAAUGGUUCAAGUUUGAAGAAUUUUCUCCGGAAGAUCUAAAACAUUUUCGCCUUUAAAUUUCAUUUGAUUAUUAAUAUCCGAAAAAAUAGUUAAAUACUCUUUCUAUUUUUGAGUUGUUGAAUUUUUUGAAAGUUUUUAUAUUUGUUAUCAAGAAUUUCUAUUUUAUUAAGGGUGAAUAUUUAUAAAUAAGAUAUUAUAUAAUAUUUGGAUAAGAGAGAAUGGUGGAAUAUAAUAAAGUUUUAAUCCUUCCCAAUUUUGAACCUUUUUUUUUUUUUUUGAUAUAAUCGCCUUUCUCUUGCAAUCCUAUUAUCAGGUACCUUAUAUUUGCUGAUGCUAUCUGGAACUAAAUUCCAAUCAGGCAUUGUCCAAUUACUAAUAGGACAGAUCAUAUCUCUCUGUUUCUAAACUAACAUGUAUCGUAAUGUGACCUCAUAAGGAAGGCUAGGAAGAUGGAGGAUUUUGUGGGAAGCGACCAGAAUCAGAUGGAAGAGAGAUAGCCCUGUUGACCUAAUGGCUGUAAUAGGAGAAGCGUGUGGUUUUAUGGGACUUAACUGAUACUAAACCUGUAUGAUGCUUGGAGUGGUGUUUCUUUCAUUUUGUUAAGAAAAUAUGGCAGCAUACAUGCUUUCAACUGAGUGCAUCAGAGCAUCCAUAACAGAUGGUCUGCAACCCUAGGUGCAUGCCACUUUCUGACUGAUAAUGAAAUUGUCAGGUACCUGGCCUUGACUAAGCUCAACAGCAUCACAUAAAGAGAAGCUUUCAUACUUAGAUUACUGUUUAAAGUUUUUGCUUAUUUGAUUUCUUAAUGCCAUUAUGACAUUAUUGAUUCAAUUCUGCUUCCGAUUUUCGAAGUUCUGGGCAUCUACUGAUUGCAUCAUUAUAUGAGAAGUUGCAUGAGUUUAUGUAUCCUGUUAUUGUUCCUUUGCGAUUUCACUGCUCACGGGACUAACCUCUCCAUUCAGUCGAAAUGAAUUGUAAUUUCUUUACUGGUAGCAGUAGUACUUUUCAUAGCAAAGAUAAUAGAAAAUAUGAAAUAUAAAUAGAAGGAAAUCUGGAUUGUAGAUAGCACCAUAAGUAACACUCAAUAUUCACUACAUAAUAAAUAGACAGUGUUACAUAGGUAGAGAAACCUACAAUGAGUACUCAUCACCAUUCUCAAACAGAAACAUAGCAGCGACUUAUACAUAGAACCUAUAGGCUCGCAGGGAAAGAGUAACAUGAUAAGUUCACAGCGGGUAGCAGCUCUUAUUUUACGUAUUACUCAAAAUCUCAAACUAACCAAAGUCACUCAGUUGGGAUGGGUAGGAGAUGGUGGUUUGUGGGGUGGCUUCUGGGUAGGAGCUGGUGGCUUCUUUGUUGGAGUUGAAGGAGGCAUAUUCUUCUGAGGUGGCUUGUAUGACUCUUCGGCACUCUCUGCAGGAGGGUGCCCAGGGUUGUGACCAGAAGGAGGUGGCUUCUGUCCCUUUGGUGGUUUGCCUAAUGGGCUUGGUGGCUUGUGCUCCGGGAGUUGUUUCUCUCCCUCGAGUAGGUUUCGAGUUUUGUCAGAUGGCUUGUGUUCUGGUGGUGGCUUCUCUCCCUGGGGUGGUUUGCCGAAUGGGCUUGGUGGCUUGUGUUCGGGGAGUGGCUUCUCUCCCUGGAGAAGGUUACGAGUUUUGUCAGAUGGCUUUUGUUCUGGUGGCGGCUUCUCUCCCUGGGGUGGUUUGCCAAAUGGGCUUGGUGGCUUGUGUUCGGGAACUGGCUUCUCUCCCUUGGGAGGUUCAUUUGGUGGCUGGUGUUCCGUAGGUGGUUCCUUCACCGGCGGCUUGUGCUCCGGAAGCGGCUUCUCUACCUGGAGAAGCUUACGAGUUUUGUCAGAUGGCUUGUGUUGUGGUGGUGGCUUCUCUCCCGGGGGUGGUUUGCCAAAUGGACUUGGUGGCUUGUGUUCGGGGAGUGGCUUCUCUCCAUGGGGAGGUUUAGUUGGUGGUUGGUGUUGCGUAGGUGGUUUCUGAAGUGGGGGAUGCUUGGGGUAGUCAGCAAUAGACGAGGUAGUGAGAACCACCAGUCCCAACAGCAACACUAGCAAGGAUGUUGAAGACAUCUUUGAGUUCAGGCUGAGAUCU